UCUUCGGGGAUGAUUAAACCGGCGCACGGGUGAGUAACACGUGAGUGACCUGCCUUUUAGACUGGAACAACUUACCGAAAGGUGAGCUAAUGCCGGAUGAGUUAUAUAAGUGCAUGUUUAUAUAGGAAAAGUUGGGGAGACCUGACGCUGAAAGAUGGACUCGCGUCCCAUUAGCUAGUUGGUAGGGUAAUGGCCUACCAAGGCGACGAUGGGUAGCCGGCCUGAGAGGGUGGCCGGCCACACUGGGACUGAGACACGGCCCAGACUCCUACGGGAGGCAGCAGUGGGGAAUUUUGCGCAAUGCUCGUAAGAGUGACGCAGCGACGCCGCGUGAAUGACGAAGGCCUUCGGGUCGUAAAGUUCUUUCGACAGGGAAGAAAAUGCCUAUAAGUAACUGUGUAUGUAUUGACGGUACCUGUAUAAGCAGCCCCGGCUAACUCCGUGCCAGCAGCCGCGGUAAUACGGAGGGGGCGAGCGUUGUUCGGAGUGACUGGGCGUAAAGAGCACGUAGGCGGUGUUGUAAGUCAUUAGUCAAAGACUAGAGCUCAACUUUAGUAAGGCUAGUGAUACUAUAAUACUAGAGUAUCAGAGAGGAUUGCAGAAUUCCUGGUGUAGCGGUGAAAUGCGUAGAUAUCAGGAGGAAUACCGUUAGCGAAGGCGGCAAUCUGGCUGGAAACUGACGCUGAGGUGCGAAAGCGUGGGUAGCAAACAGGAUUAGAUACCCUGGUAGUCCACGCUGUAAACGAUGGAUGCUAGGUGUUGGGCUUUUUAAGUUCAGUGCCGC
rnacentral:rRNA from 1 species